rnacentral:rRNA from 1 species
CACGUAGGGGGCAAGCGUUGUCCGGAUUUAUUGGGCGUAAAGAGCUCGUAGGCGGUUCGGUAAGUCGGGUGUGAAACCUCCAGGCUCAACCUGGAGUCGCCACUCGAUACUGCUGUGACUAGAGUCCGGUAGGGGAGCGUGGAAUUCCUGGUGUAGCGGUGAAAUGCGCAGAUAUCGGGAGGAACACCUAUGGCGAAGGCAGCUCGCUGGGACGUUACUGACGCUGAGACGCGAAAGCGUGGGGAGCAAACAGG